CAGGAUCCAAGCGGUGGCCCAUCAGUCCCAUCAUCAGCUGACAGUCAAACAUCAGGAACUGGAGACGAGACAAAGCUGACGUCUGGAUGCAUGUCUUAAGCGAAACAAUCAGGGUGUUUGACAUCUUUGGAGACCCACCAGGCCCACGAUGUUCCAGGGGUGACGACGACUGAUGGACUGGCAACAGCUGAGGGCGAUGGCGACCACAGCAAAGAUGCAGAAGGAGCUGAUAUAAGCGAUAAAGUUAUACUUGACCGCUUUCUUGACCACAUCGGAGAAGGUGAACACAGACACUACAGUGAAGGUGAACACCAGCUGAAGGGUAAGGAUGCUGAACACCUGCAUGGGGAGACAGGCGCUAUUGAAUAAACAUCUCAGAUUUCAUCACAUCCUGUAAGCGAUAGCAGCACAGCACUCGGAGCGCACUGAUUCUAGACCAAAUAAUAAGUGAUGAUUAGCCAUACGAUACCCAAAAAGCUUUGCGGAAAACCGACUGCGUUUACAUUAUUGCAACCUGGAUCAGAUUUGGAUUUACAACUGCUUGCAUAGCGAGUCAGUGAAAGGUGCACCAACCUUCCGAACAAACGCCCUCCUCACUGCCUUGUCCUGGAAAGCAGGCGACUCGUAGAGCGGAACCGCUUCCGGCGUAGAAUCCGGUUUUGUAUCGGGGGAAGACUCGCAUUCCGCCGCAUCACCUUUGACCUCAGGGUCUUCGGGCGAGCCUUGGGAGUACGGGGGCGGCGGCGGCUGCUGUCCCUCUUCAUCGUACGGUGGUGGCGACAUAGGUGUGGGCAUGUCCAAAAAAGCGGGCUCGACUGAUGUCUCUCCUUGCUCAGACAUUGUACACCACGGACGUUACCUUUAAAAAGAAAAUAAAAGUAAUCCAUUUUUUUAUCUUGAGUGAAAAUGGAGUGAGGAAGUGC